rnacentral:rRNA from 1 species
UACGAAGGGGGCUAGCGUUGCUCGGAAUCACUGGGCGUAAAGGGUGCGUAGGCGGGUCUUUAAGUCAGGGGUGAAAUCCUGGAGCUCAACUCCAGAACUGCCUUUGAUACUGAGGAUCUUGAGUCCGGGAGAGGUGAGUGGAACUGCGAGUGUAGAGGUGAAACUCGUAGAUAUUCGCAAGAACACCAGUGGCGAAGGCGGCUCACUGGCCCGGUACUGACGCUGAGGCACGAAAGCGUGGGGAGCAAACAGG